rnacentral:lncRNA from 13 species
GAGAAAGAUUUAAAAUGGGUGGCACAUAAGUGACCCUUUUCUUCUAGUUUGCCACAUACAUGGUUAAUACUAUUUUGCUUCUUGGUGAAUAAAUUUGACAUUUUACAUCUGCAGUGCAUUCUCUGGACUGAGUUACUUCAGCUUGGACCUACGUGAAACAGAUCCUGUUUCUUUACAAAAUGCUAGAAUGAGAAGAGUAGAAUGAGAUAUCAUCAGUUCUAAGGAAAUGAUACUCAAGCUUUCCUAGAAGAGGAUCCCAGGAAAUUAAACUCAACUCAAACAGGGGCGCAAUAUACGUGGCUUCAUCUCCAGAACAGAAUAACGGCAAUGUCCUUGUAAAUGCCACUCUUAAAGGAAGAAAAAUAAAUAGUUGUCUUGCCUUCUGUAUCCCCAGGAGCUUAGCUGCCCCAAGGAGGAAGCAAGAUUUGUGUGCAUUAGAAAUAAAUGAACUUCUGGAGAUAGGAUCUGCUUUGUUGAGAAAACAAGUCUUGGAGAAAGACAUCAGGCCUCUAGUUGAACGGAGCCGUGACCUCACCAGAAAUCCCAAAGCAGAAAAGUUUGUCAGAAAAAUAGCACCAGACCACAGAGGCCAAGAAGGUGGAGAGAAUUUCUGACUCUAAAAAAAGGCAAGAGCAUUUAAUAAUAAUAAUAAUAAUAAUAAUGGAAUGGUUUGUUAACUAUGGGAAGAAAGUGAAAUAGUGAGUUAUAGCUUUAUCUCCAUUGUAUAACCAAAUAUA